UCACCCAGAGAAACAAAUUAGCUUUAAAGUUUAUUGUGUGGGAGUCCCACACCAUAUACACUUUGUGAGGCUUGUCCUGGUUAUUUACAACAGUCAGUGUUAUUAAAUCUACAACAUUUUUAAGACACAAACCUGUCUUUUUUUUGGGGGGGGGGACUUGAAAAAUGACAAACCUGGUCUUUUGGAGCGUCCAUUAGAGCAAUGAAUGGCUAAGCUGUGUGGAGAGGACACGUUAACUAUGCAAUGUUUAUGGAUUCUGCUCACCAUCAUGGCGACCAAACCAGCGCGUGGCAGAAUACGGAAGUGGAUGGUGAGUUGAUCGGUCGUUUUAAAUUCUAGUGUCCUUGAUUAGCAUGUGUACAUCCGGGAACUUCAGUCUAAGCUAAUUCACGUCCCCAAAGUGGCUGCUGCAAAGAGAGGACUAUACUUUGUUUGAAAGUUGUUGUUUGUUGUUUUAUUUAAGAGAACACAUAAAUGACAACGACCAGUGGCCGUAACGCAGCGACUGUGCACCUAUGGAGCAGGGUUUUGGGCUGGCUCCAUCACCACCACAGACGGCCAACUACUACUGAGACUGAGUCAACAGCGCCUCUGCUGGUCACAGCCAUUUUAUCAGCACUGUUUUAAGCUGGAGUCACUGACACGCCGCUGACUCCGACUGCACACUCAAUUAGCCACCAACCUUCCCCGGGCCGGCACAAGGAGACGAGGGUUCAUCCGAGCGUUCCAUCCUACGGCGGCCAGAGGAGUAGGAAGCCAUACGCAGACUGGAGGAUAGCUGGUGGAAUUCCGCGUUGUGGUGUCUGAGGGUUGGCUGCGUUGGUCUGCAUCCUUCAGUCUUCGGGACGCUGAGGUAAUCUUUGUCAGUAAAAAUGUUGAUUGGAUGUAUGAUGCUAGCAAACAAACAAAAUCAAAGACACACAGUAAGCCCCCCCAGUCCCCCACCUUAUCCUGCCUCUUUACACUUCACCCAUCUGUGGGGGGCAAUUAAGUUUCCAGCCCUACCCCUCCCAUCCUCGCUCUCACACGCAACGAUAAACGACCUCCACCCCUGGGUGCAUCUGCACCCCUCACGCCACUAUCCUGCCCCACAAUGCACCCCCCCACCUCCAUAGCAC